AUUGAACGCUGGCGGCAGGCCUAACACAUGCAAGUCGAGCGGAUGAAGGGAGCUUGCUCCUGGAUUCAGCGGCGGACGGGUGAGUAAUGCCUAGGAAUCUGCCUGGUAGUGGGGGAUAACGUCCGGAAACGGGCGCUAAUACCGCAUACGUCCUGAGGGAGAAAGUGGGGGAUCUUCGGACCUCACGCUAUCAGAUGAGCCUAGGUCGGAUUAGCUAGUUGGUGGGGUAAAGGCCUACCAAGGCGACGAUCCGUAACUGGUCUGAGAGGAUGAUCAGUCACCCUGGAACUGAGACACGGUCCAGACUCCUACGGGAGGCAGCAGUGGGGAAUAUUGGACAAGGGGCGAAAGCCUGAUCCAGCCAGGCCGCGUGUGUGAAGAAGGUCUUCGGAUUGUAAAGCACUUUAAGUUGGGAGGAAGGGCAGUAAGUUAAUACCUUGCUGUUUUGACGUUACCAACAGAAUAAGCACCGGCUAACUUCGU
rnacentral:rRNA from 1 species